AAAGGACUGAGAUCAAAGAAAAAUAAAGAAAUGAAGAGCUCAGAAUGGUGGAUAGAGAAGAAAGGCAUAUGUUGUCGUUGAAGCAAGCAGCAUGGAAAUGUAUCCGUGAACGUUACAGCCAUAUCUAGCCCAAAAGAGAAAAUAGUUUCUAACAGCAGAUUUUGAUGGACCAAUCAUAUUCUCAUUGACUCCUCUGAACCCUUCCCGAUUACUCUGUCUUUCUCUCCUUUCAUGGCGAUCGCUGCUGCUUCUUCCUUCUCCGUCGGUCCUUCCCAGUGUCAUUUAUGUUAAGUGGAAGGGGUUUAUUACUCACCAUUACAUGGGGUUAACAGCAGUUGGGUCAAAACUACAGUUGAUGGCUGCAGAGCUAGCGACCUGUCUGGCAUGAGGUGCAAAAAUAGUUAUUUGUUUAAGGUUAUAUGGGAAAGAGAAAACCAUUUCUCGAUUGUGUAAAAUUGAUCUGGUUUUCUUUAUGGAUUUGUUUAUGAUUUUGAUAGCAGUAUUUGUCCAUUUCUUUGGGAAGCCAUAUAUUUUUGAAAGCUUAGAUUUUAUUGAACA
rnacentral:sRNA from 10 species